AGCCAUAUCAUGUUGAAACACUAGUUCCCAUAUGUCCACCAAAGUUAAGCAUCAUCAAGCCUAUCAGUACCUAGAUGGGUGACCACUUGGGAAUAACGGGUGCUGUAAG